ACUGAGGUGCGAAAGCGUGGGUAGCGAACAGGAUUAGAUACCCUGGUAGUCCACGCCGUAAACGAUGACAACUAGCUGUUGGAAAGCUAUGCUUUUCAGUGGCGCAGCUAACGUCUUAAGUUGUCCGCCUGGGGAGUACGGCCGCAAGGUUAAAACUCAAAUGAAUUGACGGGGACCCGCACAAGCGGUGGAGCAUGUGGUUUAAUUCGAUGCAACGCGAAAAACCUUACCUACACUUGACAUACUUGGAAUCUUUUGUAACGAAAGAGUGCCUUUUGGAGCCAAGAUACAGGUGCUGCAUGGCUGUCGUCAGCUCGUGUCGUGAGAUGUUGGGUUAAGUCCCAUAACGAGCGCAACCCUUACCCUUAUUUGCCAGCGAUUCGGUCGGGAACUAUAAGGGGACUGCCGGUGAUAAACCGGAGGAAGGUGAGGACGACGUCAAGUCAUCAUGGCCCUUACGUGUAGGGCUACACACGUGCUACAAUGGGGAGUACAGAUAGACGCUAAAGCGCGAGCUGGUGCUAAUCUCAUAAAACUCUUCGUAGUCCGGAUUGCAGUCUGCAACUCGACUGCAUGAAGUCGGAAUCGCUAGUAAUCGCGAAUCAGCAUGUCGCGGUGAAUACGUUCUCGGGCCUUGUACACACCGCCC
rnacentral:rRNA from 1 species